AUGGCCCCACAGCUGAAUGUUCUGGGACUUGACUGGAAAGCAGCUGAAUUCUGGUUGCUUAUUCAAUAUUUUAAUUUUUAAAUCAGUGACAAGACAGUUUAAAAAAUGCAUUUCCAAGACUCCCCAAAAACAAGCUACAGUGUCAUACCACUUCCUCUGUUGCCUGGGUGGUUCCUGCAUUGCUAAAUUUGUCCAGACAUGUGAUUUUCAGAAAAGCCUGGGGAGAGGCAGUAUCCCAAACAGAGCACUGGCUGACAUCGAUGUGAAACAGGGAGCAAAAGGACUGUCACCUGCAGCUUGAGACCUCCAGGGAAAGGAUAGUUUCUGAAUUUUUUUGUAAACCAGCCUGGAGGAACAAGGAGUUCUCUACCCUCACGCCAGUGGAGGUACAGCCUUCCUUUCCACUGCUGCCAGCAGUCUCCAAGAGUACAGAAUAACAAAAAAGCACCCCUAAAGAGCCAAGGAAAUGUGACACUGUCUAAAUUCAGAUGGGGAGCUCUCGCACUGCCCAUGCAAUUGAGGUCCUGUUCCCCCUGGGGCCAGACCUGGCAGCGCCGGCAGGAAGAGGAGGCCAGGAUGCAGCACCUCGGCAGGUAUGAAGAACUUGAGGACAAAUUAUCUUCUGGUCCUUGUCCCCGUCUCAGUCCCAGCCCCAACCUGGCCUGGACUGCAGCUUGGUGAAAGUUACUACUGUUCCCUUCAAGCAAAGGAGAAAUGAAUUAUAUCCUUGAGAAAACACCAUCUACCAACAGCUGUGGCUCAGAAGUGCUCUGCCUAUAAAUAAGGAUUCCAUAUUAAAAUAUAGUUAAAAUUGUUUUUAAAACAAACUCCCAGUGCUUAUAAACUCUUCAUAGGCCUGUUGUUACUUAGUUUGUUAUCCCGUCUAGUAAGAACAAUUACACAUCUUCUAAUUGCUUCACUUUUUCUAGUUUCUUAUACAAAAUAAAGAUGUAAAAGAGACUGAAUGACUGCUUGAAUAACCUGGAUUUUCAGAACCACUCCAGUAUUCCUCCAAAAUUCCCAGGUUAGUCCUGGGACUAAUGGAGUACCUUAUUUUUCACAUGCUAACAGAUGAUGUAUUACGUGAGUCAUACGUUAGUUUUAAAUGUCAAAAUUUUUAAAGAACUGAACAAGUGAUCACUUCUGUAAUUCAAAAAUAAAAUACAGAAGACAAUUGUUUAAAUUAUCUUUGUUUAGAGUCACUGCAAGCAGAGAAAAGCUGGCAUUUUUUAUCAGGUUGUUUGGAUUGUGGAUAUAACAGAUGAGGAAAUCCACAUGUCAAUACUUUUGCUGGACUGUUAUAGUUUAUGAUGUCUCCAAUGGAAGCCUCGGUCCCAUCUGCCUCAUGUUUAUUUUCCACCACGGUGAGGACUUGCUGGACAAGAAGCUGGCAACCCUCACACUUCAAGCACUGCAGUUCACAGGCAUGUCCUGGGAAAGCAGAGGUCUUGAGGAGAUACUGGGCCCUUGGAGCUGUAUCUGCAUGAGGGCUCCCACUGCUGCUACCAUAGUGCAUUAACAGGAGCCACGAGACAAGACCUGAUGGUGAGACCUCUGAAGACACCAAUAAAAUGAAGAGCACUGACACUAGCUAAAUUUGGAGAUAUUUGGGAGACCUUAAUUCCACCCUCUGCUCCAAUCCUACUGUUGACAUAUAACUCCUUACCUUACAGGCCGAAGGCUUGACUCGGCAGAAGCUCUUCUAAAACAGUGCAGAGGUCAAUAUUCCUGGCUCUCAGCACGGCAGGAUAACCUAACAUCCUUAAUUACUGUGGGAUGCUUCCGUUUGCCCAUUAACUACUGAUCUGUGUAUAGACCUAACUUGUAUUGAGUAACAUUUGUUCUAAACAUGGAUCCAAAUGCACUUGCCUGUUAAGAAAAUAGAACAAGUUUAAGCUAACUUUGCUUAUCUGUAUCUUAAGUGGUUGCAUCCGAAUGAAAGUUUGUAAUUAUCUUCUAAGGGCUUGUUUAGAUCUGAUGGCUGAUGAAAAUGGGAGUGUGACAGGCAUUCCAAAGGCACAGGCUAGUCCCAAGUCCCAGAGUGCAGAACUUCUUACUCCAGAGUAUUCUUCUUGUUUAAGUUGGGCUGGAACAGUUUACGCUUAUUGCAAGAUAUAAAGGUAGCACACACACACACAGAGCCCUGCACACUGAAGUGCAGCUAUUUCAGAGUAAUUCCUGCGCAGGGCUGUGUGUGGAAGAGCCCUGGUGGAUGAGCUCAGGGCUGUGGCUGCCUGCAGCUGCCAUGGGGAGGGAGGGCUGGAUGUCAGCACAAGCAGACACUGUGCCUGCACACACCCUGCAACAGGAGCUGCUAGAGCAGGUACAAAGGGGAGAUACCUAGAGCCAUCUUAGCACCCCAUUCUUCCUCUCCCACUAAGAACCUGUCCCUGCAUACAGCUACUAGCUUUCCAAAUGCUUCAGCAUUAGCUAUUCCCCAUAUCUUGCUGCCACAGCAGCUUUUAUUGAUAAUUGGAUUAGGAGAGAAAAGCUCCAGUCAUUCCAGUGCCAUAGGCACUGGCCCAGGCACAUUGUUUGCCAAAAUAUUUUCAAUCAGAAUAGAUAACAUUUUAAAGGCAGAUUGGUCAGCCUGUACAGACAGGGAUGUGUUUAAAGGUUUGAUUUUUUUUCCAAAUACAUUGUAGCUCCUUAACUAAGUGCUACAAUUACCCUGCUUAGGAAGAGGGAACCAAACAUCCUGCCAAUUUAACUUAGGCACGAACACACACAAACACUUGAUCCUGACUUCUGAACAUUCAUCAUUUAGCUCAAAAGCUUUUUUCAAAAAUAAUCUGUGGAAGAAAUGAAUUGUUUGUGUAUUGCCAGCACUAAGCAGAUAGAUAAGUAUGUAAGCUGGAAUGUUAUUUCAAAGUUAUUUUAAAUAUUUGGGUUGUCUACUUGAGCUAUGUUUAAAUAAAGUUACUAUGAAUUUCUUAAUUUCACUGAAGCCAUUAUAAAGCCACACUUUCUGUCACUAGAUACAUCAGCUUUUAAAGGUUAGGGAAAAACCAUGGCAGGCUAAUUAGAAUACCAGGGGGCUGGGGUUUCUGUAACUACAUUUCUAACUUUUUUGGGUACUGUCCCUAGACUCCCCAGCCUUUUUUUGCAAGGUGUGUGGCUAAACACCUGGAAUUUAGGCUUAAGAGCUUCAGAGCAAAGUAACACUUAAAUAGGUGCCCUCAUCAACCAUUCUGCCUGAUCUGCUGUUUCAGGGACUGUUAGAAGACCUCAUCUCUGUGAUCGUUUUAUUUCCUGUGAUAGUUCCUCUGUGAUAGUUUUAUUAGUUUGUGGGCUAUGAACUUGGCUGCAAUGGAAAGCUG